rnacentral:lncRNA from 1 species
AUUGACCCGCAUGUGUGCUUGGUAGAGCCCGGGGGAUGUGUGCAGCUUUUUGAGCGCACAUAAUGUUCCAAGGGAUUCUAUUUGAGCACUUGGUCAUGCUUGGACAACAACCCACAUGCAUCGAUUGCAUGGCACAACUGUGCAAUGCAAUCCCUUCCAGCACCUUAGUGCCUCGCUCGAUUAUUUUUUUUCCUAAAUCAAUAAAACUCGUAAACUCACUUAACCAUUCAUCUUAUUAAAUCGUGACGACACACAUACUUCAUCGCAUAUCAAGAAAGACAAUACUCCUAUCAUUACCUUAGGGUCAACUAUGAU